GAACCCUAGAUUUGCCACAAGAUUUAACAGAUCCGCCCAUGUCACUGUUCUUGUGGUCGAGUAGCUUAAAUCAAGGUCGGCGGUGGAGAUAGCAGGAGGGGGAUGGGCGAAGAGACGACGGUAGAAGAGCCAGAACGGUACGUGGGGAAUGAUAGCCACCAUUGUUGUUGUUCUCCGAGGAUGUCCAUUCGUCUUCCUGUGUGUCUCAGACGGAUAUUUUGUUUUUUUUGGAAGGGUCUGGAACAUUUCAGGAGGAUUUGAAGGCGAGGAGAAGAAGUAAUUCUGAUAAUUGUUUUUUAGUCCUACGAAUUGAUGUUAUUUCUAAUUAAAUCCGAUUGAAUUUACAUUUAUUUAUUAAAAAAAAAAGUAUAACCUGCAAAUAGUAGAAAAAUAUGGGGUAGUCCAGACAUUUAACCUUUUUCUGUUAACUUUAACGGUUUAUUAGACGGUCGCUACAACUUGUCAACCACA
rnacentral:lncRNA from 1 species